rnacentral:antisense_RNA from 1 species
UGCAAUGAAAAAUAAAACCGUUUCCUAGAUUUAGUUGUACCGAAAUACAUGACAUCGCCUGCAUUUUGUGACUUUGUCAGUAGUCACGAAGGUAAGUACUACUUUGGGGUCAGAGAGAGCCUGUUGAGAUAAAAUCUCAAAGCUGUUAGAAACAUUUUAAGAUGUGGAAAGAUAAUCAACAAAAUCAUUUACAUAAAAUUAGUAUUUAGCAGAUGUACACAUCUGCAAAAAAAGAAGUGAGUUUGGAAGCAAAAUUUGAACAUUUAGCAAUAAAAUUAAGACUAAACUGCUAGCCAGUAAGAGCUUAGGAAACUUUGGAUAUCCUUAGUGAGAUAGAACAAACAAGAUCACCACAAUGAUGUUUUAAAACAUUAGGACUCCUGGGUUAACUGGUCUAUGAUGAUGAUGGAACUGCAGAAUAAAAAGGUUGUUUGGGCA